ACUGCUCAGUAACACGUGGAUAACCUGCCCUUGGGUCCGGCAUAACCCCGGGAAACUGGGGAUAAUUCCGGAUAACGCACAUAUGCUGGAAUGCUUUAUGCGUAAAAUGGAUUCGUCUGCCCAAGGAUGGGUCUGCGGCCUAUCAGGUAGUAGUGGGUGUAAUGUACCUACUAGCCAACAACGGGUACGGGUUGUGAGAGCAAGAGCCCGGAGAUGGAUUCUGAGACAUGAAUCCAGGCCCUACGGGGCGCAGCAGGCGCGAAAACUUUACAAUGCGGGAAACCGUGAUAAGGGGACACCGAGUGCCAGCAUCAUAUGCUGGCUGUCCGGGUGUGUAAAAUACACCUGUUAGCAAGGGCCGGGCAAGACCGGUGCCAGCCGCCGCGGUAACACCGGCGGCCCGAGUGGUGAUCGUGAUUAUUGGGUCUAAAGGGUCCGUAGCCGGUUUGGUCAGUCCUCCGGGAAAUCUGACGGCCCAGCCGUUAGGCUUUCGGGGGAUACUGCCAGGCUUGGAACCGGGAGAGGUAAGAGGUACUACAGGGGUAGGAGUGAAAUCUUGUAAUCCCUGUGGGACCACCUGUGGCGAAGGCGUCUUACCAGAACGGGUUCGACGGUGAGGGACGAAAGCUGGGGGCACGAACCGGAUUAGAUACCCGGGUAGUCCCAGCCGUAAACGAUGCUCGCUAGGUGUCAGGCAUGGCGCGACCGUGUCUGGUGCCGCAGGGAAGCCGUGAAGCGAGCCACCUGGGAAGUACGGCCGCAAGGCUGAAACUUAAAGGAAUUGGCGGGGGAGCAC
rnacentral:rRNA from 1 species